UUCGCCGCUCGUCCUCUUCGUCCUCCUUCCACGAGUUCGUCGGAGAAGUAUUCGCCUGUAGAGUGGACAAGCUAUUUCGAUAAAGAAGAUGAUGUAUCAAUCACUGGAUCUGACGAUGUGUUUCACGUAUAUAUGGCUGGAACUGAAGGACCUGUUGUAUUUUGUCUCCAUGGUGGUGGCUACUCUGGGCUUUCGUUUUCUAUAGUGGCAAGUAAAAUCAAGGAGA